GUUGUUUUGAAACUUGAUACUAGCUGCACGAAAACACGUGAAUAAAGGGAGUGGUUUCGAGAAGAGAGUGGAGUUGGAAAGAUACGUUUUAGUUUUGACAGAUAGUUUGGACAUUUGAAUAAUUGCGCGCUUCUCGACCAGUCACGUGAUUUGUCCAAUAUAACACACGCAAUAUACACAUAACAGUUCUCUAUGAUUAAGUGUUCAAAUACUUUCACUAACCAGUCUCAAAGUCAAAUGGCAAUGCAGUCUUGAUCUGAAAGUGGUUGACAAGUUUAGUAAGAUUGACUGUCGAUGGAAGUACAGUGACAUCGAGAGGCUCCAGGAUGGACAGGAAUCCAGCCCCGCGGCAGGAGAACUCCCGUCCGUCGGCAGUGACGUUGCAAGAUUCCAGGAGACCGGGUCCACUAGAGGAACCUGG